AGGCCCUACUGUAUUACACUUCAGGGUUAUUUUGAGAUGGUCACGAGAGAGCACUUGAACCCUGAACAAAGAACCUCUCUUGCCUUAUCCUAUUACAGAUGACAGUGAAGUGUUUUAAGUGCCCGGAGUCUGAUGCAACUGCAAAACCCCAACCAAAAGGUUGCCAAACAUCCUUGUUAUGGGACUCAAGAAAAAGCCAC
rnacentral:lncRNA from 1 species